rnacentral:rRNA from 1 species
GACGAACGCUGGGGGCGUGCUUAACACAUGCAAGUCGAACGGAAAGGCCUGCUUUCCCUUGUGGAUUGCGGGUACUCGAGUGGCGAACGGGUGAGUAACACGUGAGUGAUCUGCCCCCAACUUGGGUAUAAGCCUGGGAAACUGGGUCUAAUUCCCGAUAGGACUGCAGGGUGGUGCCUGUGGUGGAAAACGAUUUUCUAGUGGUUGGGGAUGAGCUCGCGGCCUAUCAGCUUGUUGGUGGGGUAAUGGCCUACCAAGGCGGCGACGGGUAGCCGGCCUGGGAGGGUGGACGGCCACAUUGGGACUGGGAUACGGCCCAGACUCCUACGGGAGGCAGCAGUGGGGAAUAUUGCACAAUGGGCGGAAGCCUGAUGCAGCGACGCCGCGUGGGGGAUGACGGCCUUCGGGUUGUAAACUCCUUUCGACCGCGAGGAAGCCACCUGGUUGGAAGGGUGGUGACGGUAGUGGUAGAAGAAGCACCGGCUAACUACGUG